UUAUCAUAGCUCCGUUAUGGUGGUGAUGUGGUCUGCCUUAUUCUGUUGUUCAUUUCAUGAACUGGGUUCCAAAUUCAAUAAUGUAUCCUCCUUUCAGCUCUGUGCUCUUUUGUCCAAUCUCUUUUUAUAUCCAGGGAGAUCCCCUCAAGAUAAAUGUAACUUUUGAAAUGUUUGGCUUGCCAUUAUAUACUGAAAUGUUACUUCAGACACUAUUUUAGUUGGUACCAAAGGAUGUCUUUUGCAGAGCAAAAGUUUUUAAUUUUGCUGAAGUCCAAGUUAACAGUAUCUUUUCUUUAUGGAAUAUCCUCUAGUUUUCAUGUCUCGGAACUCUUUACCUAGCUCUAGGUCCCAAAGAUUUUCUCCUGUGUUUUUUUUCUAACAGUUUUAUAGUUUCUUAUUUUGAAUCCAUGAUCCAUUUUCAGUUAAUUUUUGUACAAGAUGUGCAACUUAGGUCCAUGUUUUGUUUUUGUUUUUGUUUUCCUAUCAGUAUCCAAUUGUUUCAAUACCAUUUGUUGAAAAAAAACAAAACAACAACAAAGAAAAAAACAGCUAUUCUUUCUGAAUUGAAUUACGUCUGCACAUUUGUUAAAAGUCAGUUGGGUCUAUUUGAGUGGGUCUAUUUCUAGGUUCCCUGUUCUGUUUCAUUAAUCUAUGUGUCUCUCCUUCAGCCAAUACCACACUGUCUUGUUCAUUGUAGUGUCUUAAAAUUGGGCAGUGUUUUCUCCCAUACCAUUUUUCAAAAUUGUUGUAGCUAAUGUAGGUUCUCUACCUUUCCAUAUACAUUUUAAAGUCAUCUUGUCUAUAUCUACAAAAACCUUGCCAGCAUUUCUAAAAGAAUUGAGUUAAACUUGUUGAUCAGUUUGGGGGAAGAACUGCCAUCUUUAUGAUGUGAGUCUUCCAGUACAUGAACAUAGUAUAUGUCCUUAUCUAGACCAAAGUCAAUGUUUUGUAGUUUUUGGUAUACAAGCCCUGUAUAUGUUUUCUUAGACUUAAUACCUAAGCUUUUCUCUUUUUUUUGAGUAAUUGUGAAUGGUAUUUUUUUUAUUUCAGUUUUCACAUGUUCAUUACUAGUAUAUAUAGUGUUGAUUUUUGUAUAUUGGUCUUGUUUUGUGCCCUCUUACUGGACUUACUACUUCUAGGAGCUGUUUUGGAGAUUGCUUAGGGUUUUCUACCAUAUAGACAGUUGUGCCAUUUGCAAAUAAGGACAAUUUUAUUUUUUCCUAUAAAAUCUAUACACCUUUUAUUUCCUUUUCUUGACUUAGUCUGCUGACUAAAAGUUCCAGUACUAUGUUUAUGUUACAAAGGGUGUUUUAAGCUUUAAAAAAUUGUUUCAGCGAAGCUUUAUAAAAGCCUUAGGCGUUAUCUAGGUAGCAUUAAACAAUAAAUACAGAUGCACUGAAAAAUGAAGUUUUCUUUGUUCAAAUACCAUAAAUUUAUUCUUGCUUAUUCUAAAUACCUUUGAAGUAUUUUCCUUGUUAUUCUUUUUACAAGACUAGUCUAAUACUGCUUUCUUUCAUAUAGGAAAAAAUACUGAUUUCUUUUCACCAGCUCAAAUUUGUUUUUCUUUCUUGUACAAGUCAUUUAUUAUUUUUUUAUUCAGGGUUCUGAGCAAGGUUCAACCAGUCAAGAACAGGCCUUAUCUGCUCAGCAAGCUGCUGUUAUUAACCUUACUGGAGUAGGAAGUUUUAUGCAGUCACAGGCAGCUGCAGUUGCGAUUCUUGCAGCAUCAAAUGGCUAUGGCAGCAGCAGCAGCACAAACAGCUCAGCUACAUCAUCAUCGGCAUACAGGCAGCCAGUCAAAAAGUAAAAUGAAGAGAGGCACGCCAACCACUCCAAAAUUUUGAGUCUUGCAUUACUUUUUGUUCCUUUUUUAAAAACACAAGAGCACUGAUUCAAAAGAAUUGAGUUUCUACUUUUUGUUUUUUUUAAUGUGUCAGUAUUUUACAUUGCUAGAUGUACAAACUUUAUACAGAAGCACAACCUUAUCAUUUUUAAAUAAAAACAGGGAAAUGGUUUAAC
rnacentral:sRNA from 1 species